UAUGUACUCCCUCCGUCUCAAAAUUCUUGUCUUAGAUUUGUCUAGAUACAGAUGUAUCUAAUACUAAAACGUGACUUGAUACAUCCGUAUUUAGACAAAUCUAAGACAAGAAUUUUGGGACGGAGGGAGUACCUA
rnacentral:pre_miRNA from 1 species